UGGCUCAGUAGCUCAGUGGUUAGAGCAGGGGAUUCAUAAGCCCAAGGUCGCAGGUUCAAAUCCCGCUUGAGCCA
rnacentral:tRNA from 1 species